AUAGUGUAGGAGAGCGAUUAGCGUAGCGUUCUUCUAGGACUUCGAGCAGAUGAGCGCCAGACAGGGCUGGGUGGGGGUGUUAGAAAUGGCCCAGGUAGAGGAAGGAGACCGGGUCUCAAGGAGAAAAGGCCACUUUUUAGGAAUCUCUAGCGAGCUGAGCGGGGUAUGGAGGGGGAAGAGAAAAGAGGGGAGGGUGGAGGAAAAGAGUUGUGAGGGUUGAGUCGGCUGCUUUGAGAGUUGCUAUAGUGAGAUGUAGAAGUCACGGUCUAAGUUGAGCCACGGCUGGGUGGACGAGGAGAGAAAGGAAGCGUGUAUUCUGAAAGGGCACCCCCUGACAUUCGGGCUCAGGGAGGCGAAGGGGUGCCCUGGUUUGUAUGGAGGGAGGAGAAAGUAGUGCUGCAAGGGGAGGCUGUUCCAUAGACGGGACUGAGACUCAAACGUCCCCGGCGCCUUGUAUUGGCGUAGCCUGAGAGGGAAGGAGCAGAUGGCUCCGUUUAUAGAAGGAUAUCGGAGAAACUAGAAUGCUGGGUUUGCUCGGGCUGGUUUGGGGGGGGAGGGCAGCUCGAACAUAUCAUGCCAGCAGUCACUUUUUUUUCCAGGCGAAGGGUCUGUGGACCAUCCUGGGGGUGUGAGACUGGCAAAAAGCCCCAGGAGGUGCUGCUGAGCACAGACCUUGUGGAAAAGAACUUAGCUCCUGGAGGCUCAGGGUGGUAUGUAAUGUGUUGGCGAGACGGGGCGUUCCCAAGCCAGGGAGGGCUGUAUACAGUGCUCCUGGGGGCUCCCGGACAGCUCCACUAGGUAGGGUUGUUGUAAGCACUUACUCAAGUGAUGCCUAGUGCGCUGCAGGGAGAAAAGUGCUUGUAAGUUGCUGGGCCGGGCAAGGGGAGGGGGUGAAAUUGACACGUUUUCUCUUGCAGAUGGCAGGAUUCUGCGUGGGGAACCUCUUUCCUAUUCUAGGUUGGAAGCUAACCUCUUUAGGUGUGACGUAACCAUCUGCUCCCUCUACCUCUGCUUCUCCUUCCUUUAGAGCAGUCGAUAAGUUCAGGUUUUAAGUUCUUUCUGGUUCUGGUGAGGCGUAAGUAAAUGAGGGGAAUAUGGCCUAUCGGUGGUACGUCAUUGGCUUGGAACUGAGCUGACUUAGCAGCCGCGGGGCGUGCUGUGGCCCCCCCCCAGGCUUUGGGUGGGGCAGAAUUGUAAGGUUGGAGGCGCCCCACCCCAUAUCCGGAAUGGGACAGGAAGCUUCUUCAAGGAGCUCUGGGUAUUGAGAGAUGGAGUGGGGGUGGGGGGACGCCAGCAAACAGACUUUCCCCCCCUACUUGAGCUGACUGGUCGGGCUGGGUGGCUUUAAGCAACCUGAUUUCUAGCUGCUACAUUCCUGAGGGCCUUUUCCAGUAAAGUAAAUGCUUUUUGGAACCUGAUUGAUUAUAGUGUUCAUCCGGACCAUCUGCUGACCCCAUCAGAAAUGGAGGGAGCAGUUUGCCCAUUGAACCCCUAGCGAGCAGAGCAGCAGGGAGAGAGCCGAACCAGAAAGCUUGUUUCCUUGUCUUCAGAGCCUUUGAGGAAGUUCUGGUGUUGAGGUUGCCACAUUUUAAGUUCUCGGCGGAGUUAAUUCCUCCCCAGCUGUCUGAGCAACCUCAGGAAAGAGUGGAGCCAGUGCACGGCCUGCGCCUGCGCCGCGGGUGUGUUGAGGCCCAGAGCCCUUCGGGGGGUGGGGUUUGCUGGCACGGGCCACCUUCCGAGCGGAAGCUUCGCCUAAGUAAUGACCAGUUGGGUGCCACGAACUUGUAGCAGCAAGACGACACAGCAGUAAACUGGGCCGACGCUACCAACCGCUGUAAGAAUAAGAGCAAAGAUUGCCCGCGAUGGACCCCGCCACCGCGAGGCCUCGUGCGGACGGCCAGAUGAACUGAAGGGCAGGCACUCUCGCGAGAGCUAAAUCGUGCUGGAGGGAGAGGGCGGGUUUAGGCGGGGAAGGGUCGGGCUGACUCCAGGCUUAGAGAAGUAGUGAAAUUGGGGGGGGGGCGGGGAUCGCUAUGGGUCAGUCAUUGGCUCUUCGGCUUCAGAUGCCAGGUUGGGCGGGGCAUUAAGGCAUGGGAGGGGGAGGGGAAAAGGGAGGUGCCUCUAGGGGGUGGGAGGGCAAGCAUCGAGGGGGAGGGGAAAAGGGAGGUGCCUCUAGAGGGAGGAAGGACAAGUAUCGAGGGGAAGGGGAAGUGCCUCUAGAGGGGUGGGAGGGGCAAGCAUCGAGGGGGAGGGGAAAAGGGAGGUGCCUCUAGAGGGAGGGAGGAAGGACAAGUAUCGAGGGGGAGGGGAAAGGGAAGUGCCUCUAGAGGGGUGGGAGGGGCAAGCAUCUUUGGGGGCGCGGGCGAGAACUCUAGCCCUGGUUUUGGAACCGGAGAUGUAGGUUUAUUAAACGAGGGAGGGCAGGGUUGGCUUGGGUUUUUCUGUAAUGAAAUGGCAAACGGGAGGAAACCCCGAGUACUCUUUAAAAGGAAAGAAGCUCCCCUGAGACUGCUUGGUGUUCUCCGGGCAAACCAUGGGAAUCCACAGAGUGGAGGGCAGCCUGGAGGCCUCGUGAAGGCGAUCCUGUGUUGCUAGUGAACCCGGUGGGAGCAGGGCUUGUUGGAAGGGUUUUUAAGUGCUGGAAGGCCAGCCGCGGGGCUCUGCUUGUAACGGCGAUCGCGGCUCAUUGUAAACCAUAAUAAAGGACUCCAGAACCACCUGUGCUGUGAACUUGGGGAAGGCGGCGCUCUUGGGCUUUUGGACUGAUUUUCUCUGUAACCAGCCGAAUGUGAACGGGACUUUGGGGACUGGAAACCGAGGGUCGAUUUUGUCCAUUGGAGACGUCCUUGUUAGCUCUUAGCUCGCUGGUGCGGGUGGUUUUUGCAGUCUUAUUUUGUGAUGAAAUGACCGAAAGGGUAGAGAAGUGACUUUGUAUCGUGUUCUUCCACCAAAACAGCCUUCCAGUGGGGCGUCCAAGAUGGGACCUAGAGAGCCCCUUGGCCCACGCUUUGGCCCUGGGACUGUGGAUGGGCCGUUUUGGUGCAUGAUACAAACUGCUUAGGAAAGGGUAGACGCUACCGGGGGAGGGGGGGGUGCGGUUGCUAAGAAUGUUCUGUACUUCCCAAGAGCUGGUAUGUUUUGUACAUGACUAACGUUUUUCUCCCUUGAACAGCACCAAUAAAAGUUUGAAAGUUUCCUGUUGCUAUUGUAUGUUUCUCCCCUUUCUGCCUGUACUUCUGCUGCCUGGAACAGGCCCUUAGGCUUGUCUCUUGUCAUCUGCACUAAAUGGUAGCAGCCUGCCCUUUGGCUGUGCUCAUUCCCCAGUUGUGUUCCUUCUGUUCCUGGAAUGUACAGCCCAGCCUGGCUGCAGAGGAGAGGGAGGCCUCGGGCCUAGCUUGGGGGGAGGGGGGGCUGGUGGGCGGGGUCACUAAGGCUUUGGAGUCCCCAGGGAGAGGUUUCUCCUAACCCCCCCCCCCUUGCUUGGUACCACUGAGGCCUUCCCUUGGAGAUGGAGUCUAAUGUUUUCUACCUGGGCCCCUAAGGGUGGCGGGGCGGAUGUAGGUGCUUAGAUGCUUGCAAGAGUUUUGCUGAAAAGGGCUGGAUGGUAAGUGGGAGGUAAGGCCUGGCGCUCCUGCCUGGGAGCCCUCCCCUUACAAAGGCAGAGAUCGGAGCUGUGUGGCCUGAGGAGGCCAGAAACGAAUCUCCACCUCCUGGAGCAGGUCCAGACGCUCCGUGAACGCCAUUCAGACCCCUGCCAGGACUUCUCAGGUGAGCCGACUUGUGUGUGUUGGGUUUUGUUGGUGAUUCCACAAAUGGGUUAAAGCCGGAAUCUCGGCUCCUCGACUCGGUGACUCUGAAACUGCUUUUACUUCUCUGAUAGGUGGUGAGUGGUCAGACGUCGGCAUCGGUCACAACGGGGCGCCUCCUUGGAAGGGUUGGGGUGAAAGCCCGGACACUUGGGGAAACCGUUCAGUAAUUCCCAAAGCGAUGUCAGAUGGGACAGUUGGGAGCCCACUAAAGCUACUGGUGGGCUCCGGUGCCCCCAUUAACCCCCCUAAUGGUUUGCACCUUUUUGUGCUGCCCACCGUGGGCAGCAUCCGCCUACCCGCACUCUUCAGUACUAUGUUAGCUGCCAGCCUUGGCACAUCCUUAAAUUCCUCUAGUCACCGUGUCUGUAGACCCGCCGGCUCUCCCAAGUGUCUCCUGUGGACCCUCCUGUGGUUCAAGCAAAUCCCUUUUCCUUGUCACAGCUGCCAAAGCUCCUUUUUUUUAAACCUUCCCUUCUGUCUUAGUACUCUGUGUUGGUUCCAAGGCAGAAGAGUGGGCCAUGGAGGGGGGUUAGGUGACUCGCCCAGGGUCACCCAUCUGGGACAUAUGUGUCUGAGGUCAAAUUUGAACCCAGGACCUCCUGGCUCUAGGCCUGGCUCUCCAUCCACUGAGUCACCCAGCUGCCCCCUAAUGUGUUUUCUUGAUAUGUUUAUAUUUAUAUCUAGCACUUGGUGGCUGAUAUUAGGCUGUCAUAAGUCUGCUCCACAAUUUCCUUUUUUAUUUGUUAUACAAAUUUAAAUUUCUGUGAGAUAGCCUUCAAUGAAGGGUGCUGGCUGGACCCAGCCUUGUGUAGUGAUCAUCUCUAGUCAAUGUAUUUCUCUGAAUUGUUUUAUAAUUUUGUUUGUGAUGCCCCAAUAUUCUCUGUGCUCAGGUCAGGAGGACGCUGGGUCAUUCUAGGAUCUGAAAACAUCACAAAAACAAACGCAAUGUUGAUUCCUUCUGAUUUUACACACAUGCGCACACACACACACACACACACACACACAAAUGCAGUUACAUGUAGAUUUAUUUAUUCCUGGUGUUUGUAGUUUAUAGAAUUCUGCAAUUUGCUCUUGGUUCUGUAUAAAUGAUAUAAAUGUGUGUGUGCAGGUAGUCUCGAUUCUCUAAUUGUAAAUAUUUCUUGUUUUCUUUAGAACCCUCAUUUUAAAGAUCUUUAGCCUGCUAAAGGCCUGGCAUAGCAGGAUUCUAUUUCAUUCAGAGAGCACCUCCCAGAGGCCUCCCUGGGAAGGUUGCUCUUAGGACAGGGCUGUUUUCUCAGGGUGUGUCUCAGUCCCUGCUGUCCCCAGGCAGCAGAUGGAGGCUCUAAUCAAGGUUUUGAUUGGCUCCCAGAACUGGAGAUGCUUAGAAAUAUGGGCAGUGAAUCCCCUGUCAGAAAACUUUCAAGGAGCCCAGAUUUCUCCUUUUUCUCUGAAGGGACCCUCGAUUCCCCGAUGUAUGCUGUGAAUGCUUCUGUAAGACGAGAUCACAAGCUAAUGUGUGGGGGCCAGCUGGGUAGCUCAGUGGAUGGAGUGCCAGUCCUAGAGACAGGAGGUCCUGGGUUCAAAUCUGUCCUCAGACACUUCCCAGCUGGGUGACCCUGGGCAAGUCAUUUCACCCCCAGCCUUUACCACUCUUCUGCUUUGGAACCAAUACACAGUAUUGACUCCAAGAUGGAAGGUGAGGGUUUAAAAAAAAAAAAAGCUAAUGUACAUCUAUGUGAAUGCGCCUCCCACCCCCCAAUCUAGUGCCACCUUUCAUCACUCCCUUCCACCCCAGCCAUACUGGACUGGAUGGCCCAGGAGAGGCCCUCCAUCCCACACCCUGGUGUAACACAGAAAGAUUUAGAUUUUCUUUUAAGUAUUUAAGAAAUGUUUACCGUGAAAUCCUGUUUCUAAUUGCUACUGAUUUGUCUUCCUCAACUUCCUUUGUGCCUUGUGGGGCUAUCCUGUGCCCACCUUCUCCCCUUCUCCCCAGGAAUUAGACUUCUCCAGACCCCUUAAAGCCCAUCUCCAAUGCCUCUUCCUCUUGCAGCCCUCCCUUGACCCACCACCGCAUUCAGGAGUGACCUCUCGGGGGGCCUCAAGAAGCAAAACUGGGUUUUUAAGUCCUUCUUAGAGAUUGGAUUUUAGGGCAGAAACCAAAGACUUUCCAUUACUCUCUCCAGGAAGCAUCAUCCAUCUGCCUCUGGGAAUAUGGCGGUAAUUCACGUAUUCAUGGUAUUACACGAUGGAUGAGUGGCUCCUUUUUAUCUGUCAUUGACAUCAUCGUGAUGCUUUGGGCUCUGCAGCACUUGCUGAUUUCCCCCAUUUCGUUUCGUUAUGUUUGUCGUGUCUUUGGGUACGCGUGGCAGUUCUCACGGCUCGUCCGACCCGCUGUGUCCCAGCUGCUGGAAAUAGGGGUUCCGGGUUUUUGUUCUCGCUGAAGCCGGUGCUGGUUCUGCGGGGUUGGCGGGUCUUCUUUGGCUGCUGGUGUUUCUCUACGAGGUGGCCCUUGUGGAUCUCCCAGGGGAUGGGAGGCCAUGAGAAGUUUGGUUUCAUGGAAAGCCGCGCCAGCAGCGUCGGCUGUUGGGCGUUAUUAUCCGAGCGAUGUGUUUGCUUUUAUUUUCUUUUUCAGACUCGUCUGAACACUUGUAUGUGGUCGGUUUGUAGCCCUCGAGCACAUCUCUCUGGUCAUUUAAAACUGGCUGGGUCAGGCCUGCCCUUGGUUGGGAUAGAUACAUGAGGUGGAGUGGAUGGACGGACAGAUGGACACACACCAUUUGCCCAUUUCCUCUCCCGGCCUUUUGAUCAUUUGGCUUAUUGAAUGGUGUUGUUUGGCGGAUGUAGAGCUUUCGAGCUCGAUUUCUGCUCAUUUCUGGCUAGUGUAGCAAUAGCUCUUUUAUUUCUUUCCUGUUUAUAAUCUGCCACAUCACCUAGAUCUAGUUGGAUAAGUCUCUGUUAUUCAUUUUAUUAAUUCAUAUUGAUUAGGAUGAUAUGAAUAGGAAUAUUUAUGAUAGCAAAAUGCAUUUGGCACUUUCAGCUUUGUAACUGCCUGAGGUAGGAUUCGAACUCAGCUUUAAAAAAAACGGCCUUACCUUUUGCCUUAGGAUCAAUACUGUGGAUUGGUUCCAAGGCAGAAGAGUGUUAAGAUGUAGCUGCUGAACCUCUUCUAAGCUUUCCCCCUGAGCAGUCAGCACAGAGUUCUGCGCAUAGUAGAGUGUUAAAGAUGUGUUUCUAACUGGAUCUCCUGGAGACGGUCCAUGACUUCUGAGAUUGAGGGACUCGGCACGUUCUUCCUAGUGUCUGAGCACAUGAGGAAAGCGUCCAUGUGCCACUGAACCUGCCUGUCCUACCUGGACUCUGCCUAGGCCACAAGUGGCUCCCUUCAACCGGACCUUCUCCCAUCUGGCCCAGAGUCCCAGCCCAUAAGGACGUUCCACCUCCAACAGGGCAGAACCACAUGAGCACCUCCCAGUACGUUUCGGGUUCUCCCCCAAACCUCAACUCUUAAAGGACAUCUCAAACCCUGCCUGCCACAACCGGCCGGGCCACAGCGACCUUUCUCAGGCCUCAAGUGGCAGCCCUUGGUUUAUAGCACCCUGACGGGUGGUUGGAACUUGUAGAAUAGAGAAACAUUUAAAAAACAACCACUUUUUAAAACCUCGAGAUUGAUUCAUAAUAUAUUUUAUUCUCUUUAAGUAGUAACGAUUCUCUCCUAGACGUACAUGUAUCUUUUCUGGAACUUCCUUUUAUACAAUUGUAGUCAGUGUGAAUAUUUGACCUUCAUAUUUUCCAUUUUUUUUCUCCAAAUGAAUUGUUUCUUAUGAUUCAGUUUAGAUAUUGGUCAAAUCCCAAGACCUGUUCAGCCACUCUGUUUGGUGGUUAUGGGGAUUUCUAGGCUUUAAUUGUUUUGAAUGUCAUUAUACUUGCUUCUAGUAAAGCUCUCUAAAAAAAAAAUAGGGUCUUGGGCAGCUGGGUAGUUCAGUGGUUUAAGAGCCAGGCCCAGAGAUGGGAGGUCCUGGGUUCAAAUCUGACCUCAGACACUUCCCAGCUGUGUGACCCUGGGCAAGUCACUUGACUGACCCCCAUUACCUAGCCCUUACCACGCUUCUGUUUGGAACCAGUACACAGUAUUGACUCCAAGAUGGAAGGUAAGGAUUUAUUCAUUUACUUAUUUGUUUGUUUAUUUUUAAAAAUUAAUUUAUUUAAUCAAUUUAAAACAUUAUUCCUUGGUGACAAGAAUCACAUUAUUUCCCUCCCUCCCCUCCCCCACCCUUCCCAUAGCCAACAUGCAAUUUCAUUGGGUAUUACGUGUGUCCUUGAUCAGAACCUAUUUCCAUGUUGUUAUUUGCACUGGGGUGAUCAUUUAGAGUCUACAUCCCCAACAAUAUCCCCAUCAACCCAUGUGAUCGAGCAGUUGUUUUUCUUCUGUGUUUCUACUCCCACAGUUCUUCCUCUGAAUGUGGAUAGUGUUUUUUCUUGUAGAUCCCUCUUGAGUUGUUCAGGAUUGCCACUAAUGGAGAAGUCCAUUACAUUCGAUUGUGCCACAAUGUAUCAGUCUCUGUGUUCAAUGUUUUCCUGGUUCUAUUCCUCUCACUCUGCAUCAAUUCCUGGAGGUUAUUCUAGUUCACAUGGAAUCCCUCCAGUUCAUCAUUCCUUUGAGCACAAUAGUUUUCUGUCACCAUCGUGUAUCACAUGUGUUCAGCCAUUCCCCAUUCGAAGGGCAUCCCCUCAUUUUCCAAUCUUGGGCCACCACAAAGAGUGCAGCUAUGAAUAUUCUUGUACAAGUCUUUUUCCUUAUUAUCUAUUUGGGGUACAGACCCAGCAGUGCUAUGGCUGGAUCAAAGGGCAGACAGUCUUUUAUCACCCUUUGGGCAUAGUUCCAAAUUGCCCUCCAGAAUGGUUGGAUCAAUUCAUAACUCCACCAGCAAUGAAUUAGUGUCCUGACUUUGCCACAUCCCCUCCAGCAUUCAUUACUUUCCUUUGCCAUCAUGUUAGCCAAUCUGCAGUGUGAGGUGAUACCUCAGAGUUGUUUUGAUUUGCAUUUCUCUGAUAAGAGACGUAGAACAUUUUUUCAUGUGCUUAUUAAUAGUUUUGAUUUCUUUAACUGAAAAUUGCCUAUUCAUGUCCCUUGCCCAUUUAUCAAUUGGAUGAUGACUUGAUUUUUUGUACAAUUGGUUUAGUUCUUUGUAAAUUUGGGAGAGGUUUUUGUUAUGAAGAUUGUUUCCCAAUUUGUUGCUUCCCUUCUAAUUUUGGAUGCAUUAGUUUUGUUUGUGCAAAACCUUUUUAAGUUGAUGUAAUCAAAAUUAUUUAUUUUACAUUUUGUGAUUUUUUCCUAGCUCUUGCUUGGUGUUAAAGUCUUUCCUUUCCCAAAGAUCUGACAUGUAUACUAUUCUGUGUGUGAGGGUUUAUUUAAAUAAUAAAAAAAAAGGUAGGGUCUCUGGAGUCAGAGGCAUUCUGAGUAGUAAAAAGCUCCUUAUUGCAAGAUACCAUAUUGUUUGCAUUGAGAUCAAACUGAUUUCUAAUUGCCCCAGUAAUAUGCCCAUUUGGCCACAGCUCUACCAGCAUUGAAUAUUGUCUCACAAUCUUGGCCAACUUGGCUAUAUUUGUAGUUUGCAUUUCUCUCAUUUGUUUGAAUAUGUGUAUUCUGUGUAGUUAUUUGUAUUCCAUUUGAAGAUCUGACAUUUGAAAAAUAACGAUUACUUUUACAUGUCGUCUGAAUAUUGGGGAUGAUGGAUUUUCUUUGUUCCCAGCAUCUUCUUCCUCCUGAGACCAUGUUGGCUUGCUUUCUUUCUUGUUGAUCUUUUGAAUUUUGUUGUACAAAAGCUCUUUAUUCUUACAGGCUAAAAUCCAUUUAUUUUGUUCUCUAUAAUUCCUCUAUAAAUAGUACUUGAUUUUCCUUCACUCCUCGUGAUUACAAAUGGUUUUAUAAUCCUCUCUAUAUCGACUCACUCCAAUUUUUUUUUUUAAACCCUUCCCUUCUGUCUUGGAGUCAAUACUGUGUAUUGGCUCCCAAGACAGAAGAGUGGUAAGGGUUAGGCAAUGGGGGUCAAGUGACUUGCCCAGGGUCACACAGCUAGGAAGUAUCUGAGGUCAAAUUUGAACCCAGGACCUCCUGUCUCUAGGCCUGACUCUCAAUCCACUGAGCUACCCAGCUGCCCCCACUCCAAAUUCUUAAUGAUGACUUUAUGACUGUAUUUUGUUGCUUCAGCAUCUGCAGUGUAUUGGGGUAGAAGGUAGAAGGAUUUAUGUGAACUCUUUUUCUCUCUUGAAUAGAACUGAAUAAAAUUUCUUUCCUAUUCUUGGCUUUAGCUUUUGAAUGAUCAAGUUGUGUGUUGAGUCUGUGUGGUUCUACUUUGAGGAUGCUGAAUCGGCUUCACUGAUCAUUUCUAACUUAUCUAGUUCUAGAUAAAUCUGAUGAUAGUUUUGCAGUAUGUUUGGAGCUACAUCUACCUCCAUCUUUCUUUCCCCCCUUACGUAGGUACCUUGUAAAGUUUGUCACAAAAUUUUUAUUUAAUCCUAUCAAGUGUCUUCUCAUCACUUUAAUGGUGUUGCCCUACUUAGUACUUAAACCUAUCCAUGGACAUCGAGUCUCUCCCCUGUCAUUAUUUUCCUAAAGAUUGUUUUAUGAUUGCCUUAGUAUGUAUCGGCUGAAGGCCCAGGUGUUUUCUGUUGAGGCAAAUGGGAUUUCUUCAGCUUCCUGUGGUUCAGGGGAUCAACACGCUAAGCAAAUGGCAGCUGGUUCUUCUUCCGCUUCUCAGAUGUGUCCUCCCACGCCUCGAUGCUUGGAUGCUUUAGAAGCUGGUGCUGUAUUUAAAAAUACUAUAGCAGGCCUUGGCAUUAAUUAAGGAGCCAAACCAGUAGGUGGAAUCACAAAUCUGCGUCUGUCGAUGUAUUUGAGGACAUUUUAAACUUUCAAGAUGGCCCUUGAUCACGUGGCCCCAACGGCUGCCUUGGAAGGGUAACCGUGUUUACUUAGAUCUCUUCUUUUGGCUCUGCUUCCUUCUUUGCUGGAGUCGCUUCCUUCCACGGCUCAGCCAGCCAGCCAUUGCCCACUUGUUUUCUUGUCCUGAAUAACUCAGCUUGAGAAUGCAUCUGUUAUUCCGGAUUUAACCUGGUUUUCCCUCCUCCACAAGUCUUUCCUGGUAACCAGUUAAAAAGCAGCCCUGCUGCCACUGUGGGGGUUCUGGUGGGCUGAGCAGCUCCCCCUGCUCGCUCUCCAUUUGCAGUUCUCCGAUUCUUUGUUCCAACACGGGAUGGUUCCUCUCUAGAGCGGACCAUGAACGUCCUGAGCCAGCUGGUGGAGCUCUUAUUCAGAUCCCCGACUGCCAAGCCAAAUGGAAGUUCCGGCAAAGGCAGCCUCCCGCCCACCCCUUUCCCCUCCAUCGGUUUCUUUUCUUCCCGACAGUUUGCGUUGUGCCGCCUAGAAUCUCUCUCAGUGGAAAAUUCCAGAAUUUUUUGGAAAGUUAACUGUGGCGCUCCAUAGUUCCUCAUUUUGAUAGUUUGAAAAAAGGAGGACAACUUCCGGUGGGGGCAGGGCGGCGGCCUUGCGGAGCAUUUCACCAUCCAGAAGCAGCUGCAGCAGCGCCGGCAUGUCCUUUUAGAGGAAUCCAAUCCAUCCGUCUCAGUUUAUCGGCUACCAGAUAGUUGGGAUCCGAGCUUUGAAGGGCUUGUGUUGGCCUCUGGCUCUGUGAGCAUCCUUCACAGCUUGUCCUAGUAGUUUGAUAGGGAUAAUUGACUGUCGCAGAUCUUCUCGAAUUCUAUGAAAGCGGCAGCACAUGGUAUACAGUUACUAUUAAUGUGUUCAGUAGGCUAUCAUGAUUAGAUAUUAUAUGUUCUAUAUAGAAUUAAAUAGGCUAUUGGGGCAGUGUCACCAUUUUUAUUAUGCUAUAGACCAAUUCUUUUUUUAAUCGAAACAUUUUAUUUAGACUGUUUCCAUGGUUACAAGAUUCCUGUUCUUUCCCUCCCCUCCCCCUACUGCCAACUCCGUGCAAUUCCUCUGGGUUUGUGUCCUCCAUCAAGACCCAUUUCCAUGUUUUUGAUAUUUGCCCCAGGGUGAUCGCUCAGACCAAUUCUUAAUGUCUCUAAAGCACUUGAUACAAUUUUGCCAUUUAUAAUAUCCAUCUAUUCUCUUCAUGGUAAAAAAAAUGACCAACUAUUAACAAAGGAAAGCGGAAAGUCGGGUAAAGGAAUCUUCACACUUCUGUUUCUGGGUGUUUUCCUUUAAAAGUACACGUGAACUCUGAACAGUCAUAACAAGCUUCCUCUCUUCCCGUGCUGCGGCCCUCCAGGUUCUUCUUGCCCGUUUUCCGGGUCUGUAAUUAUGAUCAGUAUGUAUGAGGUUAGGACUUGCUUUAACCUUUCCCACCUGUCGGACAGGUGAGUUGUUGCUAGUUGUGCUAAUAUUGUGUUUGUACUAGAGGCAGGAAUGUGGACUUGCAAUUUCAAGGGGAUCGGGAAACUCCAUGUGUGGAAACUCCCUCCAGCUAUCUCCUCGGAAUUUUGCCUGACACUUCACUGGGCCCCUGAAAUGGGGGCUUCCUGGCUUGGGGCCUAGCACAGGGCCAUGUUCCUCCCCAGCCUGGAAGGUAUCAAAGGUUGGCAAUUCUGAAUGUAUAUGCCUGGCCUGCUGGUCCCCAUUCCACUGUCUUUGGACUUCCUACAUUUUAAUUACCUUUGCCCUGUGGAACAAUAUAAGAGAAUGUCCUGGUGCUUCCUUUACAUGCCUCUUGCCAGAGUUUGAACAUUUUCCUGUGGUGGUUGAUCGCCUUUCUUUUAGAACUGCCCCUUCAUCUCCUCUGACCAUUUCAAGGUACUUUUGAUUAAUGGAUCCUCCUGCUCUGCAUUUGGGUGUCCAGCUUUUAUCUGAAAUGGUUCUUUGCUAAGACUUUCCCAUAAUCUCUUGGUUUUCUCAUCUUUAUAUUUGGCGCCCUGGCAUACAUGUAAUUUGUUGUGGCAAGGUGGUAUGAUACUAGACUCGAAUUCCUUUCCUCCCCAUGCUUUACGUGGUUUACUUUUUACCGAAUCACUCUAUUUUUAAUCAUGGAAUGAUCAAACGCUGCUCUCAUGAAGUUGGUUCCAGUUUAAAGUGACCUGUUUGCAUUGAUUUUUUUUUCUGAUUCCUAAUUAGUACCAUACAGUUUGAUGAAUGCCCUAUUCUGAGAUGUUGCAAUGCAAAUUUCCCUUUCUCUUUCCUUCCUGUAAUUCACCUUUUACAUGUUACUAUGAAGUAGCCUCUUGGGAUGUGAAUGUGAUGCAAUGCCACACAAAUAGAUUUACUAUAGUAGCUCUACCUAGCCAUGCACAUCGAAUCUCUCAAAUGACUAGAUUCUCAAUGUAUUUCUCUAAAACACUAUUUUAUAGUCACAAGUCUGUGUUUUAGUAGGUGAUGUCCUGGCAUCUGCUCCACAGGCCUUACUGUAAUUAGGAUUUCUUUUUGUGAUUUUUUUUUUUGAAGAUAUAAAAGUAAUUUGGGAUUGAUUUAUCUCAAUUGUAUGGUUUUUUACUUGCCUUUCUUAGUAAUGUUUUGGUAAAGCCACUUUCCCCAUAAUAUGCCCUGAAGAUCUCCUCUAUUCUGCCCCGGUUGUUAGGCAAUCUUCCCUCCUCCUCCUGCAUAGAAUUUACCAGCCAAACUAGUUUUUCCAUCCCUUGUAUCUGCCCCUACUAUAGCAUCCUUCUCACUUGAACUGUUCUUGCUUAUGGGAAAAAUAUGCUCAUGAUACUAUUUAGAGCCUUCUCCAGUCCAGUGCCAUUCUUAUUCAUCUCUUACCCUUUCCAUGGUCAUUGUGCUCCAACCAAACUCUCCCCUCCCUGUCUUCUGUACUGACUCUGUAUAGCCUUGUGUGCGUGUAUGUGUGUGUGUGUGAGAGAGAGAGAGAGAGAUCUGUGAUCAUUCCCCCUCCAACACACCCCCAAAAACAUAAAAAAACAGAAGAGAUACACUUGAGUUUAGUGGUGACUGGAAACUCACAAGACAGUAACAAAAUUGUCCAGGGUGUUUCCAUAGUCUCUUUAUCAGCUCCAGUGUUUUUCCUGGUUUAUUCAGACCUUUGCCUCGGUUGUUGGACAGACAACUGGGUUGUUGGAGCUAUGAAUAUCUUUGGUCAGUCACAUUUUUAGCUCUUGAUCAAAUAAUUUGAUAUUGCCUUGGAAAGAUUGUGGCAAUUGUCGGUAGAAAUAUUUACUGCAAAGAUUCCACUUUAUGUUCCUGUUUCCUUUUUAAUUUGGGUAUAGUUCAUCUUGUACCAAGAGGGCUUUCUUCUUGGAUAACUGGUCAGUAUUACAGUUCAUUUUCUCCUAGUUAAAACUAUUGAUGUAACUGGAAUUGUGGUAUGUCAGAUGUGAAUCCAAUAGUUUGGUUGUAAUAUUUAUAGUUUUUAUAAUUUUAUAUCUUACCUAUUUAUAUAGUUAUAUAUUUUAUUAUAUUAUUAAGUAAUAGUUCAUUUUUCUGAUUUUUAAAAGGUAAAUAAUAUCUUCCCUGAUUUGUUAUGCUCUUGGGUUGAUCAAACUUUUGUCUGCUGUAAACAUUUGGUUCCAGUUUAAGGCAAUCUAAUUUAUUUUUAAUCUAGCUAUUACCUAGAAUUAUAUUUUUGUUAGAUUUAAAAUCGUAUAUGGCUUACACUGUAUUUGAAGGCCAUAAACUGUAAUAAUUAAAAUGAUUGACAAAAGAGUGGAAGAUAUAAAUUGUGAUAGAUAUAAGAGAGGGUGAGUAAAUUUGACCGCAGAAAAUAUGUUUCACUACAGUGUCUUGGUUUUUAAAUCAAAUAUUAGGUGGUUGCCAGGGAAAUAUUCCCAAUUAUUCAAAUACCCAAGUCAACUGGGUUUUAUAGAGAUUUUAAUUAAUACAAAUGUGGAAUUAAAGAAAAGAGAGAAAGAGAGAAAAAGGAAAUAAGUAUGAAGGGCCUUAAGCCAACAUGGCCUAGACCUGAGUCUUGAGAGAGAGAUCAGUCAGUCUUUUAUCACUCGCCACAAGAUUUGUCUAAAGCAAGGAUGUCUGGGGAACAGAGUCUCCCCAGAGGGAGUUCCAGCCAGAGUCAGCCUCCCAAGGGACUUCUUCUCCAGAGGUCCUCCUAUAGCAAGGAGUUUUCUCCCCUAAAGCAGUCUUAAGUACGGGUGGAGUGGAGGUCCUCCCAUUUCUGAUCCUGGCGAGUUCUCACAUCAAAAUGGGGAAUGUUUCCAGUAGGGAGUUUGUUCCAAUGGAGGAUUCCUCAAUGUGGAAAUUUUUAACAUUCACAAGUCUGAGAAAUUUCAAGAUUUACAUUUUUGAUUACUAUUUUAUUGAGUGCAUUUUGAGAUUUCCUCCUACAAAUCCUUCUUUGGAACACCUUAUCUCUCCAGUUUCUUUGAUACUGCCCAUUCGCUCUAUACCUUCUAAUAAGUCUAAUGCAAUAUCAGAUUAGUAGAGGAAUCUGGGUAAUGGUCGUCAUUCAUCUUUCAUUUUCUUUUUUUUUCCUUUUUGUAUUUAGAACAUUUUUCCAUUGUUACAUGAUUCAUGCCCCCCAAAGCUGACAAAGAGUUCCACCGUAUUGUUCAAAACCCAUUUCCAUGUUAUUCAUUUAUGCAGUAGACUGAUCCUUAAUCAUAUCCCCAUUGAACUAUGAGAUCAAUCACAUAUUUUUCUAAUGCAUUUACAUUUCCACAGUUCUUUCUCUGGAUGUGGAUAGCAUCUUGUCCUGGGUCAUUGCUGUUGCUAGUAGCAAAGUCAGUUACAUUUGAUUGUUACAAUGUUAUCAGUUACUGUGUGUAUGAUGUUCACCUGAUUCUGCUCCUUUCACUCUGCAUCAGUUCCUGGAGGUUGUUCCAGUUCACUUGGAAUCCCUCCAGUUCAUCAUUCCUUUCAGCACAAUAAUAUUCCAUCAUCAUCAUAUACCACAAUGUAUUCAGUUAUUCCCCAAUCAAGGGACACCCCCCACAUUUUCCAAUUUUUUACCGCCACAAAGAGUACAGCUAUAAAGAUUUUUGUACAAGUCUUUUCCCUUAUUUUAUCUUUGGGGUACAAACACAGCAGUGCUAUGGCUAGAUUAAAGGCAGGCAAACUUUUAGCGCCCUUUGGACAUAGUUCCAAAUAACCCUCCAGAAUGGUUGGACCAAUUCACAACUCCACCAGCAAUGAAUGUGUCCCAAUUUUGCCACAUCCCCUCCAACAUAUAUAUCACUUUCCUUGGCUGCCAUAUUGGUCAAUCUGCUAGGGGUAAGGUGGUACCUCAAAGUUGUUUUCAUUUGCAUUUCUCUAAUUAGGAGGAAUUUAGAACAUUUUUUCAUGUGUUUAUUGAUAGUUUUGAUUUCUUCAUGUGAAAACUGCCCAUUCAUGUCCAUUGACCAUCUGUCAAUUGGGGAAUGGCUUGAUUUUUUGUAAAUUUUACUUAAUUCCUUAUAUACUUGGGAAAUUAAACCUUUGUCAGAGUUUUGUUAUAAAAAUGUUCACCCAAUUUGUUGCUUUCCCUCUAAUUUUGGUUGCCUUGGUUUUGUUUGUACAAAAACUCAUCUUUCAUUUUCAACAAAAACCAGUAACAUUGCAAUUUACCUUCAUAGCAUCAUCUUGACUGGACAGCAAAACCAAACCAUGAUCCUUGACUUUCUAUCUUACAAUUUUCAUAGUUUUUUAAGCUCUAAAGGUUUUGAAUGGGUGAAGACUUUCUUUACUGCUCCGAUAUCUACAUACUUCUGUGUCAUCAGGAGUCAAACCUAAGCCAUUUUCCCUAUAAUCUACCCCCCAAUAGUCCCUUUCUCAGAAAGAUAUGCAGUCCAGCCAAACAAAUGCAGCCAGCGGUCAUCCCCCCAUAUAUACCGAAUGUUCCUUGCCACUGGGGCUACCGAGGAGUGGUGUGUUUCAUCUUCGAUUUUUCUAGAUUUGUGACAUAAGCCACAUCGUCUUGGUCAGAAUCCUAAAGCCAUUUCUCUGUGAUGCCUUUGUGGUACUAAUUGUUCUACGUUUGGGCACUUGACUGCCUCUGUUCAUACAAGUGCUCAGGUUGUCUUCCUCCUUCUUACAGUACACUAGCAUCCUGGUCACAUACCAGAGUGACCAUUGGGUGAUGACUGGCUGCUCGAGAUGGGGUAGAGCCUCUGGCCCAUGCUGGGGUGGCAGAACGACCCUAUUUCCCCCCUCUGCCCGUUUUUGAUGCCUCAGAACGGUCUUAGUGGUUGGCUUUUGGCCUGGCUGGUGCCAGUGUUGGCUUUGCCCUCUGGCACAUCUUGUCUGCAGUCCUCCAUGGCCUCCCACUGUGCCAUCUGGAUGGCUGCUUCGAGAUGUAGAUCUAGUGAUGCUGAGCUCACUCCAGGGGCUGUUUGGCUCCCGUCUCUUGUUCCUUCCAAUUAAUUCCUUCUGUAAAGUGAGCUGAGCUGGCAUGACGUGGCCCAAGAUGUGGCACAGAAUCUCACCAGCUGGCCUUUCGGAGCACGGGGCCGGGGAUCCCCUCUUUGGCCUGGGGCCUCUCCUUCCUCCUCACUCCCCUCCCUCAGCAUGGCAGGACAUGAUGGCAGCCUCCCCAGAGUCACCCAGGUUUGCCAAUUGCCCAGCUCACUCUGGCCUUGUCCAGUGGCUGGAGUAAGUCGUCCAUCUAAUCGUCCUCAGGGAAGGGGAGGGAACCUGGACAGAAUAGAAGAGGGGAGCUUGGUCUGGCCGUUCCCUGCUUGUUGGGCCAUGCCUGGGCUCAGGCUUUGCCGCUGCAUGCCAAUCCCUUCAGACUGUGGGAUCCCCUCAGCCCUUGGGGAUCCUUCAGGAGGUUCCCCCCACCCUGUCUCUGGGACGGAGGCUAUACCAGGCCCCGCUUUCUUCUCUCGGACCAUGAUGCUCCCCAUGACGUGAAAGUGACCGGAAGUGAGAGCGUCCCUCAUCCCGUGUGGAAGCCAGAGAACCUUCGGGGAAGCAGUGAGUGUGGCACAGGGGCAGUGGGCGGGCAGUGAGAGAGGGCUCUGGGGGAGGGUCCCUAUGUGUGACUUCAGGGGCAGCCGAGUCAGAGGACCCGAGUUCGAAUCCUACUCUGAAACUUAUCACUGUAGGCCUGGGGCAAAGCCUUAGCCUCUUUCUUAAACUGUAAAAUGAGGGAAUCCACCUCGAUUAUCACUAAAAGGCUUCCUCCAACCCUCUGGCAGUCCUGUGGCUGGGCCAGGUGUCUCAGGGCUGCCCCAACCAGGGCAUUCUCACUUGGCAAGUCCCUGUGGUUGGAUGUUUCUCAAGGGUUUGGGCAGGGGGCUGAGGAUGGCUGCCAGGGCGCAGCUGGCAUCUGCCUGCCGCAGAGGGUCUCCCGUGUGGACAGUGUAAUAGAGGAGUGUCGGGUAGAGUGGACGUAAGAACGGGGUGGCAGUCCUUUUGGGAGUCUUUAUGAGGGCUCCUCUGAAUCCUCAGUUCGUGCAGGCAGGUGCUCCCGAGAGCCAGUGUGGACCCGGGGCUGUUCCCAGCCUAGACUCGGGCGCCCCCCAUUCCUUCCUAGGGUUCAACAAGCUUAAAAGAAAAGGAGGAGCAGCGCCAGGCAGGCUGGGUAAGAUUCUGGGGCCUGUGGGGGAGAGGGGAGAGGAGGGGACCAGGCAGCGAGGAUGAUGCAGAAGAGAGGCUGAGGGUGGGGGGAGAGCGAGGGAAGGGGAAAGGGGGGGGGAGGAGCAACAGGAGUAACUGGGAAGAGGAGGGAAGAAGGAAGGGCAGGAAGAGGCCGGGCAGGUUUGCUGGCAGGGGGAUGGAGGGGGCCUUCCUUCCUUGGUGCCAUGGGGGGCAGCUGGGGGGGGCGGCCCCGCCGGCGGGUGUUUCUUUUCCUGAGGCCGCCAUGCAGCCUCAGGUUUUGCUUUUCACCCUUAAAUCUGUGAGAGAAGAGCGCCCAAAAAGCAAAAGGCACUGGCAGCGGUGCGCCCAUCGGGCCGGGGUUCGAGUCCCCGCGGUGCCU
rnacentral:lncRNA from 1 species